CCCCCCUCCACCUCACUUCGUUGUCCUGCGCCUCCUCCACCACAUGAACCGUCAAGCCCCAGAGGGCGGCGCACCCGGAGGGCUGCUGCUGCCGCUCCGGGUAGGGCUGCCGCCGCCACGGCCCGGUGGCGGGGCACAGUCAACGUCAGGGCGAAACUCGGGAGAUCAGAUUCUUCAAGAUUGGGGCACGCUGUAACAGUAGGUCGAGCGGCGGCGGUGGAUAUCCGGAGGGUGGAGAUGGGAUCCACUGUUGGGAAGAGGAGGAAGCGGAAGGCCGCCUCCUGGAAGGUCCUCUUCCACCAUCCUCCGGUGCGGCAUCAUCAAGGCUGUCCUCGACAGGAAUGAGCUCGGCAAGGGUAGCUAUUCCUCGGACUGUCGUCGAGGCCCUCCAUGAGCAUAUGGCCGCACUCUGUUGGAAAUCCGCCUCAAGGUAUGUCCCGAAGAUCACCCGGACCAGAGUCGGAGCGGUCAUUCCAACAAGUUACUCAGUCCUCCUCUGUUAUUUCUCUGCCUGCUUGAUGUUUGUUUCUUUUUCCUAUACUGAUUUGUUGAUGUUACUUGGUCCGAGCGAUGUACCUCGGGGUCAAGUCGGCAAGAGCGCCAUCUGCAGGAGUGGUGUAUGUUGGGUAGACAUACCGCCGGGCUUGAGGGGCCGCCGAAGGUGGUUGACUUGGAGGGAGAAAGGAGCAAUGGUUUUGCGGCUUAAGUCGUGGCGAGCAGGGCAUGUAGGCGACGACCACGGGAGCCAUCCGCGUCGUGCUGCAAUGUACGUUGUAGCCCCCUAAACUCUAACUCAGUUAUAAUUUGUCAGAAGUGGAUGCAGUUCAGCAGGGGCUUGGAGUCCCACAAGCAGGGUCUCGGAACUGUCCAGAGAAGAUUGAGCAAUGAGGACAACCAAAAAGAUAUAGUAGGAGGCUAUUCAUAGAAGAGAACAAUAGACAGGUAAGAUCCAAUUGGAGGCAGUUACAAAAUUGCAAUCACAAUUUCAAGAGGAAGGUUAAGGUUUGUCUUAUUCACGUUCACAAUUCAUUGGUAAAUUUCAGUUGAAGAUUUUUCAUCUACAUCUCAGUCCGGCCUUAGUCACAUGAACAAAAUCAUUGUUAUUAGUUUUUUUUCUUACUAAACGCAGCUUGGAUCUGCUCAAACAGAUUGGUCAGUAUAUUAUAUAAAGGCACAAGUUGUUCUGAGUCUAAUUCUUCAUACCAAUACUGCAGAAAUAUCUGCUAAGAAAUAAUUCCUAGGAAGAGCUACGUAAAUAGCUAUGUGAGAAAACGAUGGGUAUUUAUCGCUCCCUAUCAAUCGACUAUACAUCAUAUAAAGAUUGCUAUGUUAAAUAACCUGAUUACAUGUCCUUACCGCAACGGAACAGGGAUGUAUUACUGCAAAUAUUAACUAACUUCUUCAUGAUUUAGAGUAUUCUAUAUAACUAAAAAUACUAUGAGUGCUUUACCACUACAAUAUCCUGCAAAUGAGCUCUUGAUUAUUCUGCCAAAGCUCUCAGGAGUCGAAAGCAUGUGUAUAGAUGGUUAAAUGUGUGGACUGCUAUGACACCAUGUAGCCAAAUCUGGUACAUCUCUUUGCAUCUAACAAAAACUCGGGACUUCCUAUUGGCUUGAGUGAAUACAUGCAUCCUAAACUGAAUACUUGCUUGACUGAGUUAACGCGUGCAUCUGCAGAUCUGAAUCAUGACUAGCAUGACUCACAAGCAGUUCCUCCAGAUUUAGACUUGAGGUAGCCAUUUUUUCUCGAUUCUUCAUCUAUUAGUUCCUUUUGUGAUACGGUCAUUCGUGUUUUUUUUUC